GUCUCCACACAAGGUUGCGAGUUUCUGGCUGUGAGCUCCUGUCCGAUGGGAGCAUCCGUGGAUCCCACCAGGAUGGCUACGACGGGCGGGAUUUCAUCUCCUUUGACUUGGAAUCUGGGAGAUUGGUGGCGGCUGACAGCAGUGCUGAGAUCACCAGGAGACUCUGGGAACAGGAUGGGACCGUGGCUGAGUAUUGGAUGAAUUACCUGAAGCACAUCUGCCCGGAAUGGCUCCAGAAAUACAUCAGAUAUGGGCAGAAGGAGCUGGAGCGCAAAGAGCCCCCUGAUGUCCACGUGUCUGGAAGAGAGGAACAUGGGAUGCUGACCCUGUCCUGCCACGCGUAUGGAUUCUACCCCAACACCAUCGCAGUCAGCUGGAUGAAGGGGGGUGAAACCUUGGAUCAGGAGACGGAGUGGGGCGGGGUCGUUCCCAACAGCGACGGCACCUUCCACACCUGGGCCAGGAUCGAGGCGCUGCCGGAGGAGCGGGAGCAGUACCGGUGCAGGGUGGAGCAUCCCGGAAUGCCAGAGCCCGGGAUCUUCACUUGGGAGCCGACAUCUGGCAGGAAUCUCACUGUGGUGGUCGCUGUGUCCGUCAUUGCUGCCAUCCUCAUCCUCAUUGUCCUCAUUGGAUUCGGCAUCUGGAAGCUCCAAUCCGGGAGGAGAGACUGGAAGGGAUACAACCAGGCAGCCGGUGAGUUCCAGUGGUGGAUCCA